CAUAACUAAAUGUAAAGACAUGUGAACUUUGGGAACCAAGAAAAAAGGAUCCACAUCCCAUUGCCAAAACAGUUAUAGGAAGUCAUGAGAGGUCAUUAUUUCAGUCUCUUGCAAUGCAGAAAAGACUAGUUCCAUUUUGCACUGCUGUGGCUCUAACUCAGAACACAGCAUGUGUGCGGGCAGGGGUCAGAUGGGCCAUUGUUCCAUGAGCGACUGCCCAGAAGCCAAUCCCUGGAGCCCAUGGAGUCCAUGGAAGCUGCCCUGGCUGAGCCCAGAGGCUUUCUCUGACCUAAGCAGCCAAAGAGGUGACCUGGCACCUAUCUCAGAAUCCAGAAAGGACACCUACUCAAUAAGUCUCUGAAGAAUGAACGGAAAGGAAUGCAUUAAUAAGUUAAUGAAGUAUGGAAGAGUUACUGAAACUGCUUAAUAUGGUCGUUGCUUCACAUACCUGAUAGGAAAAUCAUCACCCAGUAUUUUUUCUGAAAUAAACUGGGCUCUAGGCCUCCAACAGAUUGGAUGGGACCCACCCCAUCUUCUUUACUUGAGUCCACCGAUUCAAACGCUGAUCUCCUCCGGAAACACCCUCCCAGGAACAAUUGGCCUCAUGCCAGGGGAUACCACAGUGGCAGCCAAAGAGCCAAGUGGUGAUCCCCCAACCCCACCAUGAGGACAGUGCUCCAGGGCUCCCAACUGACCUGAAUUUGUAUGCAGUGAGAUGGUCAGAAAUUCAAGAUGAAGUGUGAGAAGAUGGGCACCUCUUGGGAGUAGCCAGGGCCAGCCUGGAGGUACAUCACCACUUUGCUCUUUGCCUCUCAACCCUCACUCCCCUGUCUCUUGCCCAGUGUAGUCUCCUGCCAAGUGUCUAGUGCUUUCCUGCUGAUCCCAGCUGUUUCUUCCUAGAGGCAGCUGGCAACCAUUCAAACCUCUGAUUCUUUUCUUUUAAAAACCACCAGGGUCCCUCCUUCUCUCAGGGCCAUGGAAAGGGACAGGAGAGAGUGUAGUCUGAUAAAAGUAUUCACGCUAAAGUGUUUGUGGUUAAAUGCAUUCCCCUCCCAGGGAUGUUUGCAGCUUACAUGCUGGCUUCUGGACACCAAAGCCUUAAUGCAAAGAAGUGAAUCUUUAAUAGAUAUUUCUGUUCUAGGAAGAAUGGUGUGGAAGUGGAAGCUUUAGGCAUCUCUUAAAAAUUCACUUUGAGAUAACCAUUCUUAAAACGUAAGGCCAUUCUUGCUGGCAAACCAUGAAAUGUGUGUUGGGAGAGAAGAGGAGGCUCUCAUAAAGCUGGUCUUCUGGGCAGUGUGGCAGUCAUGGGCUGGAAAGCAAGCAGGCAAGGAGGGAUUGGAGAGGAAAGGGUGUUUUUAAAAGACAAUACAGUUAGUUCCUAAGAGAAAGAGUGUUGUCCCAACUCCUGGAGCACUUUAAAAUUCUCCUUCUCUUCUAAAAUUGCACAUUUUCUGAAUGUUUUUAGAUUACUAACUUUAAUAGGUAUAUAAAAGUUUUAAAACUUUCCAGAAUGGGAAUGCAAUAUGGUAUAGCCACUUUGGAAGACAAUUUGGCAGUUUCUUACAAAACGAAAUAUGCUUUUACUAUGUGAUCCAGCAACCAUGCUCCUUGGUAUUUACCAAAGGGGUUGAAAGCUUAUGUCCACACAAAGACCUGACACGGAUAUUUACAGCAGUUUUAUUAAUAAUUACCCACACUUGGAAGCAACCAAGAUGCCUUUCAGUAGGAGAGGGGGCAAAUACAUGGUGAUACAUCCAGAGAGUACGAUGUUAUUCAGCACUAAGAAGUGAGCUAUCAGCCGUGAAAAGACAUGGAGAAACUUUAAGUGUGUAUCACUGAGAGAAGCCAAUCUGGAAGGCUGUAAACUGUAUGAUUCCAACUUGGUGACAUUCUGGAAAAGGCACACCUAUGGGAACUGAGAACAUAUCAGUGGUUGCCAGGGGUGAGGAGGAGAGGGAGGGAGGGAUGAAUAAGUGGAACACAGAGGAUGUUUAGGGCAGUGAACUACUCUAUAUGACACCACAAUUAUAGACACAUUUAUCCAAACCCACAGAAUGCACAAGAGUGAACCAUAAUGUAAACUGUGAGUUUUAGGUGACAAUGACGUGUCCCUGUAGGUUCAUCUGUUGUAACAAAUGUCCCGUCUGGUGGGGCUGGUGAUAAUGGGGAGGCUAUGCAUGGGGGGAGCAGAGGGCAUUUUGGAAAGCUUUGUACUCUCCCCUCAGUUUUGUUGUGAAUCAAAAACUCUAAAAAAUUGUCUUAAAAAAAACUUACCAAUAUUGAUUAUUUUUCUGUAGAUUAUGUAUUAUCUUAAAUGUUCACUGCCCACAUCUGCCAACUAGAAACAAUGAGUUUAGGGCAAAAGGACUUUUUGCCUUAAGACACUCAGAAUAGUAUCAACCAUGAUAUUGUCUGCAGGUUAUAAAGGGUCUCCCAUUAAUAUAGAUAAUUAUCUUUUCAUAAGGGUUAGUUAAGUGCCCUAAGCUCUUUUUUUUCAUUUAAAAUUUGCAUGCUCGUAUUCUUUUUUUAUUGAAAUGUAUAUUUUUCCUUAUUACUUACAUCAUACUAGUUUAUUAGAAAAAAAGUAGGAAACAGUAAUCAUAAAAAAGAAAAGUCCUCUAUAAUUCCACAAUGUGGAAUUCUUCUCAUUUUUUCUAUGCAUAUUAAUUUCUAAAAAUCAGGAUCAUUCUGUAAUUAGUACAAUGCAAUGCUUUUUUUACAUUUAAUAGAAUGUAAAUAUCUUUUUAUGUCAUUAAAUAUUAUUCUACAUAAUAGACAUGUCAAGGCCAUCUGUGGAGACUCUACCCUUACCCCACAUUGAGAACUGGAAGUGGUAACCUUUGUGCCAUGUGAUCACACCUUAGAACACCACUUUGUUCACUCACUGGUCACCCAACAAACAUCACACACACACACACACACACUGACUUGCUCAUCAAGUUCCCUCUCCCAGGAGUUUGGAAUUGGAAAGACUGAGUCCAUUAGCCCAUGAUGGAGGGCUUUGUACUGAACAGUCCUGAACAGUCCUGGGGCUGGUGAAAUAAUUAAAAAACAUACCACCUGCAAACAGAAGUUCUGAGGGAACAGAGAUACCAUGAACAGAUGAAGUGAGCUUAUCUACUACAAAUGGAGGCAGGAUAGCAGGGUGGGCCUGUAGGGAGAGGAAGGACAGGAGACACAGGGGUGUAUGGGUGGGAAGGGGGCCUUGGUACCUAUUUCUAGUCCAGCUCCAUGAGCUAGCUGAAGUACGUGUCUGUGUUCAUGAGUUUGUUUUGACUUUCUAAUAUUUACUUUACUUUACCUGUUUACUUAUUUCAGCAGAUUUGAAUGGAAGAGAUUGACUGAGAUAAUCUAUUAAUGUCACUUUUAAUAGCUGCCUAGUUUUCUCUUGUAUAAAUACAUAAUUCAAUUAGAGAAUUCCUUGUUGGCUAUGUAUUAAAUUGUUUCUAUUUCUUAACUAUUCUAAAGAACACUAUAGUAAACAUUAUUGCAACAAAAUCUUUGCAAAUAUUUCCCUAGGGUAAAUGUUUAGAUGAGGAAUCAUGGGUUGAGGGGAAUUAAUAUCAUUUAUGUGCUCCAUUCCUAGGAGUUGUAUAUGUGAUAAUUCCCAUUGCCUGUAUCCUUACGAAUAUUAAAUUGACAAUUAAAAAAAGAAACCAUUGUGCCAGGUGAAGUGGCUAAAAAUACUGUCAGUAUUAAUUUACAUUUCUUUCCUUACUGGAGUUGCACAUAUUCCAUAUAUUUAUUGCUUACUUUUCUUCCAUUAGGAAAUACUUGGGGUGUCUUUUUCUCAUUUUCUUCUGUUUAUUUAUUUGUUUAUAUCUUCUUGAUUUAUGAGUGUCUCUCCUUUUAAAAUUAAGGAUAUUAAACUUGAUUCUCACAUAUUGAAGUUACUUUCUCCUCAUUAGUUAUUUGCUUUUUACUUUUAUAUAUGAGACAUUUUGAUAUAUGUUAAAAAUUUCUUUGUUUUGUCAUGUGUAGUGAUAUUUUCCCCAUUGGUUGAUUCCUUUGAUGUCAUACCUAGAAAGUAGUUCACCUAGCUAAGAUUAUGUAAUUGCAUGCUUUCAUUUUUAAGUGUGCAUGUUCAAAAAAAUAGUGAAAUACCGUAGUGUUUAGAAAUCAAACACUUAAGUGACAUACAGUGGAGACAAAAAGCACCAUAUACUAAAAUAAAGACAAGAUCUAUCACUCACCGUUUGUAAAUUUUAGGCUCACAGAAAGUUACCAAUUAUAAACCCAUUCUGUCCAUAGAAAAACAAAGCAGGAGUUUUAUCUCAAAAUUAAGUUUUAAAGAAGAUUUCUAUCCUGUCUUAGACUUGUAUGUAUUAUUUAAGUCAUUAAACAUGAGCAGGGAAAAAAUGAGACAUGAAAAUAUUAAGUAAUUCAGGUGGCAAAGACUUACAACUAUUUCCAUCCUGCCUGUGGAUAAACUUGCAGAGGCAAUGAUGAGAGAAAAUUCACUCUAGACCUCCCAAUUCAGACAACUCCAUUCCUUUGUGUGCUGUAGUGAGAAUAGUUAUUUUCUGAAUAUGAACUACUGUCAUCUAGUGGAUCACAGAGGGCAUCACUGACGUGCUCCUAUUCAGAGACAUCUCUGGAGAGUCUUCGGCCAAAGAAGUCUGCAGCCCGUAAUUCACAUGAUUAUUCAUACUAUCAUUUUUGGUGUCUUGUAGCUAAAGAGAGAAAUAAAAUGAGGUAUUGAAGUUUUACAAGAGUUGUUCAGUAAUGAGAGAUGGCACAGACCAGGGAUGCGAGAGGUGGAGGAAGAGAGGAAAAGAGGAGAUUAAAACCAACAUUAUCAAGGGCAUAUGGCAAACUAGCUGCUCUGUAUCUGAAGUAGAGGUAUUACCCUAUUUUACAGAAGCAGAAAUGGAAGCCCAGAGAGGUCUAGCAACUUUCUGCAGUCACACAGCCAAUGAAUGCAGGAGCUGGGAUUUGAAAUAAUAGGAAUAAGUGAAGAUGACAGGAAAGGUCAAAAUCUACCAUGAGAUACAUGGAGGGGAACAGCUUUUUAAUUGACAGAUGGCUUGUGAGUCACACAUCAAUCCUGAAGGGUAAUGUUCAGAUAGACAACUUAGAGUUGAACACUGGAUUCUUUCUGAAUUAUAUCAAACAUAAAAAUGCAUGUCUUAGUAAGUGUGCCUUUGGUUGGUAUGUGGACGGUCUCCUACUCAGGAUGGUUUGACUUCAUCAUGGUGCAAAAGCAAUAUGCAUUCAAUAGAAACCACACUCCAAUUUUGAAUUUAGAUCUGUUUCUAGGUUGGCAGGAUGGGAUUGACCUUCCCUCAUGCUGCUGGGCAGGACAGUGAUCCGCAGCUCCCAGGUAGUCAUGCCAUCACAAGUGUCAACAGCUGAGACACUGACAGCUGCCCUGUCCCCUGACAACUGUUCUAUUUU